UCCCCGCUGCCCACCCCGGGUAUCACCCGCAAGGAAGAGGCCCCCGAGAAUGUGCUCAAGAAGGAAGACUUGGAGAUGUAGAAGGAAGCCGCAUUACUUUCCAGGCCUUGUUCUCAGAUAUGCCGCCCAGGUACCCGUUCCAAACCUUGCCACCGCACUACGCGAGGCCCUACCCUUUCCUGGGGCAGCCCACAGCAGCCGCCAAUGCGGAUAGCCUGGCCCUUGCUGUGCUGUUCCCAGCUGAUGGGCCCAGGUGCCUGAUACUCUCGUCUGAAGACAAGCCCAUCCGCCUAUCCCCCUCCAAGAUCCCAGAGCCGCUGCGGCAGGGCCCGGAGGAAGAGCCUCUGGCCGAGCGGGAGGCAAAGGUGGAGCUGGAGGACAUGGACGAGCACCCCGCAGAGCUGCCACCUCUGGAGUUGCCGCUGCCACUGCCCGCCACGGAAACCAUGGCUACCCCGAGCCCUGCAGGCGGUUGCGGAGGUGGCCUGUCGGAGGCCCAUGCGCUGAGUGCCACUGGGCAGGGCUGCACCGAGCCCUCCAAGUGCCCAGACUGCAGAGGGGCCUGAAGCACGCCUGGAUUCCCCGGGCCGGACAGAACCCUGCAUGGCCGCCCUGGACCUGGGAUGGCAGCUGACACCGAGACGCUGGUGGAGGCCAAAGAGGAACCGGUGGAGGUGCCCGUGGCGGUGCCCGCGGCGGAGGCACCGACGGAGGAAGGCCUGGCCCAGGUGGCCCGGAGCGAGCCUCAGUCCAGCCUGGAAAUGUCAGACUGUGAUGUGCCCGCCGGGGAGGGACAGUGCCUGAGACUGGAGCCCCAGGAGGCCGUGCCUGUGCCCAGUAGCACCUGAUUACCUGGAAGAGGUAAGCUCUGAGCAGUUCCUGCCCAGACUGGAAGACUCACUGGCUGGCAUGAACGCCCUGGAGGCAGCCGUGGAGCUGCCCCAGGCCAGGCCUCUGCCCUCUCCAGGUGCUGCUGGAGUCCAGGCCUUGGAGAAGCUGGAAGCUGCAGAGAGCCUUGUCUUGGAGAAGAGCUUUCUGCACGGCAUCACCCUGCUGAGCGAGAUCGCGGAGCUGGAACUGGAGAGGAGGAGCCAGAAGAUGGGAGGUGCGGAGUGGGCCCUGGUGGCGCGGCCCUGGCCCUGGUGGCGCGACCUUCACUGGAGAGCCUGCUGGCAGCCUGCAGCCACAUGCUGAGGGAGGUGCUGGAUGGGCCCGUGGUGGGAACCGCUCAAGAACCUGCAGCUCCCACGGGAGCUGAAGCCCACAAGAAGUACAGCUGGAUGCUCAAGAAGGAGGAGCGGAUGUACCCCAAAAAGUCCUCCCUGGAGGACAUGGACGCCCUGGAGCUGGACUUCCAGAUGCGGCUGGCCGAGGUCCAGCGCCAGUACAAGGAGAAGCAGCGCGAGCUGGUGAAGCUGCGGCGGCGCCGGGACUCCGAAGACAGGCAUGAGGAGUCCCAUGGAAGCUUGGCACGCAGGCCACGGAAACAGACCCAUGCCCCCGAGCGCCCUGUCGCCCCCUGCAAGAGGUGGAAGAGCUGCAACAGUAGCGGAAAGCUGAGCAGCAAGUCUCUGCUGACAUCAGAUGACUAUGAGCUCGGAGCAGGAAUAAGGAAGAGACACAAAGGGCCCGAGGAGGAACACAGUGCCCUCACUGGAAUGGGGAAAGCCAGGGGGAGGAACCAGACUUGGUAUGAAUGCAAGGCCUCGUCUGACUUCAUAAGUCAAAUAAAGAUUAAGAAGAAGAAGAUGGCCAGCGACCAGGAACAGUUGGCAGGCAAGCUCGACAAAGGCCCUGUCCUUCACCAAGCAGGACAAGUUGAAGUCACCCUUCAAGUUUUCGGACAGUGCUGGGGGGAAAUCGAAAACUGGCCGGGGCUGCAGCAGGUACUUAACUCCUUAUGACAGCCUGCUGGGCAAGGACAGGAAGGUGCUGGCCAAGGGCCUCGACCUGUCUCUGAAAUCUUCCAGAGAAGGUAAACACAAAAGGGCCGCCAAACCCAGGAGGAUAGGGGUGGGGUUCAAGGCCAGAGGCCAGCCCAAGUCGGCCCAUUCCGCGUUUGCCUCCGAAGUGAGCAGCUACUCUUACAAUACGCACUCAGAGGAAGAGGAAGAAUUCCUGAAGGAGAGUGGCCCGCCCAAGGCCCCUCCAGCUAGAUCCACACUGACGCCUUCCCUCUUGUGUGGCAUGGUGGCAAAGAACAGCAAGGCAGCUGGCAGCCCCUAGCUGACCAGGAGGGCCUGGUGCCCAUCUCUGAAACCCAAAACGGCCACCAGCAGGAAGCGGCCAUUUUGUCUGCUGCUUCGAGAGGCUGAGGUGCAUUCCUCCUUCAGCGACUCUUCAGAGGACUCAUUUGACUAAGGUUACUAGCUCCAGACACAAAAUACUUUCCGUGUUUCCUAGCGAGAGAGUGCCUGCAAGUGAGCGAGAGGGAAGCGAGUGGGCACACGGGAGAGAUGGUGGGUGAGGAGGCCCGUGCGAAUGGCCGCAGGAAGGCCGCCAUCUGGGUUUUUGGCAGUGUAGCCUGCUGUAUCAGCUAAAUUAUUUUUAUUUUUUCUUUGAUAUAUACUGUAUCAUUGUGAUACUACUGCUGGCUAGCUCUUUUUGAGCUGUUAUAUGGACUGCUUCUGAGUCUGCAUUUUUCUCCACUUUCCCUCCUCUCUGUCCUCCUCCCCCUACCCCGAGUUCCCUCCCGACCCCCAUACUCACCUUUUCUGCCCACCCAGAGACCCCAGGCUUGGGUCGGGCUCUCUUUGGGCAUGGGCCCAGUGGGGGCUUCCCGAGAAACAUUUUAUAAAUUGAAUUCUGUCGUGUGGGCAUGUGACUUGAUGUUUGUACUGCGAUUUUGGUAAUACCAAGCUUUAAAACAUAUUGAGUUCAUUUUUACCAACAACAACGAAAAAGUGGAGGUGAUAGAAAUGGUUGCAAAUUCCUGGGGAGUAGGUAUUGAUAAAGAGGUCAAAGGCUCACAAAGGCACUCUUUUUAAAGCCUGUUUUUAAUAUACUCAUGUAACUGUUUACCCAGAUCAAAAAUAGAACAUACUAGCAACACGGAAGUGCCCCUUGUGCCCCUUUCAUGUCACUGUCCAUCCAACCAUGGUUAAUACGUCUCCAG